CAACCCUUGUCUUUAGUUGCCAUCAUUCAGUUGGGCACUCUAAAGAGACUGCCGGUGUCAAACCGGAGGAAGGUGGGGAUGACGUCAAGUCCUCAUGGCCUUUAUGACCAGGGCUACACACGUACUACAAUGGCCGGUACAAGGGCAGCCACUUAGCGAUAAGGAGCUAAUCCCGUAAAGCCGGUCUCAGUCCGGAUUGGAGUCUGCAACUCGACUCCAUGAAGUUGGAAUCGCUAGUAAUCGCAGAUCAGCACGCUGCGGUGAAUACGUUCCCGGGCCUU
rnacentral:rRNA from 1 species